rnacentral:rRNA from 1 species
UAGGGAAUCUUCCACAAUGGGCGAAAGCCUGAUGGAGCAACGCCGCGUGUGUGAUGAAGGGUUUCGGCUCGUAAAACACUGUUGUAAGAGAAGAAUGACAAUGAGAGUAACUGCUCAAUGUGUGACGGUAUCUUACCAGAAAGGAACGGCUAAAUACGUGCCUG